UUAUCAUCAUCUCCUGUCUAAAGAAGAACAGUGAAAGAUCUUCACAGUGGCCGCAAUGGAAAAGAUGAAGCCUCGACUUCUCUUCCUCCUCGUCACCUAUUUUGUCUGCCAGCUGCAGUCCGGCGAACCCAUCGACUUCGCGGCAGCGGCAGCGGCAGAGACAGGAGGUGGUGGCAGAGGAAGCAGAUUAUCCCGUCGUGGUGGUGGCAGCAGCGGUGGCCAAGGGCACGGUGGUGGCAGCAGCGGCGGCCGAGGGCACGGAGGUGGCGAUUCAGGUACCGCAGCUGAUUCAGGUACCGGAGCAGUGAUUCCGAUUCUUGGAGCUGCAGCAGCAGGCCACCCAAGGAACGACGGCGGGGGUCACAACCAUCGACACAAUGCUGCAAGCAGCCACAGCAUCCCCUUUCCCGUCAUGCUUACUGCAACUGCUUUCUCAGCUGCCGUUCUUGUUUACUAGCAGUCGUUGCCUCUCUUCCUGUAACUACAGACAUAAGCUGAGUUGGGUUGUGCAAUGCUUUGUGUGGAGAAGAGUUGUUUUUCUUGAGAUCUUUAACCACUGUAAUAUCAGAAGUCGGGUUUGAACUAAUAUCCAUAACAUUUGCAUGUCUAAA